rnacentral:misc_RNA from 1 species
AACCUUAUGGACCUGCGGGCGUAUACCUGCGGAAGGAUCAUUACCGAGCGAGGGCCUCCGGGUCCGACCUCCAACCCCAUGUUAUUCGACCCUGUUGCCUCGGGGGCGACCCGGCCUUCGGGCGUCGGGGCCCCCGGUGGACCACUCAACUCUGCAUCAUUGCGUCCGAGUCACAUAUUGAAUCAAUCAAAACUUUCAGCAAUGGAUCU